UGAGGAAUAUUGGUCAAUGGGCGCAAGCCUGAACCAGCCAUCCCGCGUGCAGGAUGACGGCCCUAUGGGUUGUAAACUGCUUUUGUACAGGAAGAAAAAUCCCUACGAGUAGGGGCCUGCCGGUACUGUACGAAUAAGCAUCGGCUAACUCCGUGCCAGCAGCCGCGGUAAUACGGAGGAUGCAAGCGUUAUCCGGAUUCAUUGGGUUUAAAGGGUGCGUAGGCGGCUUUUUAAGUCAGUGGUGAAAUCCUACAGCUUAACUGUAGAACUGCCUUUGAUACUUUUAUUCUUGGGUUCGGGAGAGAGAGACGGAAUUCCAGGUGUAGUGGUGAAAUACGUAGAUAUCUGGAAGAACACCAGUUGCGAAGGCGGUCUCUUGGUCCGACACUGACGCUGAGGCGCGAAAGCGUGGGGAGCAAACA
rnacentral:rRNA from 1 species